GCGGGGAUGCCGGAGCGGUCAAACGGGCUGCGUUUAGGACGCAGUGGCUUAGUGCCUACAGGAGUUCAAAUCUUCUUCCCCGCA
rnacentral:tRNA from 1 species